UCUCUCUGUACGGGAAGGAUGAGAAGCUUCGACUAAGGUUCGAUUCGAGCGCAGCGAGAAAGCGUUGCCGUAGGCAACGACCCGAAGGGCGAAGCGCGCAGCGCUGAGUAAUCCUUCCCCCGUCAUCC
rnacentral:sRNA from 1 species